AUAUUGGUGGUUCAGUGAUAGAAUUCUCGCCUUCAAUGAAGGAGACCCAGGCUCGAUUCCUGGCCAGUGCA
rnacentral:tRNA from 1 species